CCAAAAAUACCUUUCCUGAAGGGCUUCUCCUCGGAGUCUCCGAAGGGGUGGAGGCUCUGCCAUGGAUUGGGCUCCUCCUGGCACAGGGGGAUGAAUCCAGCCCUCACCCUGCUCUGCAGCCUCCUGGAUGGACAGAGGGAGCCCAGGCCACCCUGGCAGGUGCCACCCCUCACCUGUCUCCUCGCAGAAGCUCAGUGCCCGCACCAGGGCCGUGCCAGCGCUCGGACACUCCGCGGGGCUGGAUCCCGGAGCCGCUGCUGGGGACAGUGACACAGGCUGCUGAUCCCUCCUCAUGUCCACGCUGGCCUGGCUGGUUUCUGGGAUGUCAUCCAGGGACAGGAACUGCAGGAAAGCCCCCCCAGUGUCACCCCAGCUGGCAGGGACACCGAGGGCCCCCCUGGAGCAGGACAGGGAGCUCGGAGCCCGCCUCACCUCCUCCUCCUUCUCCGUGAAGGUGGCGUCGGCAUCGCGGCCGUCGGGGCCCAGGGAAGUGGGCAGCCUCUCCCUCCUAGGGAAAAACGGGCUCAGGAUCCAUGGAAUGGUGGCAAAGGGUCCCUCCAGCCCUGCUGUGGCCCCUCCAGGUGGGAAAAUCCCAAAAAACAAUGGGGUUUUCCCUCUCGUUCAUGUCAGCGUUAAAGCCCAGAGGAGCUGGCAGCACAUUCCGAAGGGAUUUUCCUUUUGGAAAAGGCUCCCUCAGGCCCCGUUGGACUCCUGAAUCCCCAUGAGCCAGAAGGAGAGCCAGCCCUGGUUCUGUGUGUUAUCCCUGUGAUGGCAUUCCUAAGGCUGGGAUGCACCUCCCAGGGCAGGGAUGGGAGUGGGGAUGGCCCAGGAUCAGGGCAGGGAUUCUGCAGGACAAAUUUCCCCCCUGGGAAGGAAAAUCCCACUCACUUUUUCUUGGAGAUGCAGUCCAGUGUCUGGCAGACCAGCAUGUACAGGUGUUCCACCUGGAAAACAGCACCUGGAGCUGGAACAGGGGGAGCAGCUCCUGGGAAAGCCCCUUCCACCCAAGGGACUCCCCCCUCCCAUUAUGGGGGUUUGGUGUUCUUUUCCCUUUUUUCAGCCAUUCCACGGCCAGACUGGGGGAAAUCCCUGGAAUUUGGAGAAGCCUGGGACAGUGGAAGGUGUCCCUGCCCACGGUGGCACUGGAUGGGCUUUGGGAUCCCCUCCCACCCAAACCAUUCCAGGGCUUUGUGGUCAAAAAGCUCCAAUAUCCCACGAUUUUGGGACAAAAUAGGAUUUCAUAUCCACCCUGGAGAACAGCAAAAUUCCUGCUGUUCCCUGGGGCU